rnacentral:rRNA from 1 species
GGGGAAUUUUCCGCAAUGGGCGAAACCUGACGGAGCAAGACCGCGUGAGGGAGGAAGGCUCUUGGGUUGUAAACCUCUUUUCUUGGGAAGAACAAAAUGACGGUACCAGAGGAAUCAGCAUCGGCUAACUCCGUGCCAGCACCGCGGUAAGACGGAGGAUGCAAGCGUUAUCCGGAAUGAUUGGGCGUAAAGCGUCCGCGGUGGCAAUUCAAGUCUGCUGUUAAAGCGCAGGGCUUAACUCUGUAAAGGCAGUGGAAC